GAACGAGGGAACUUGUGCAGCGACGAGCAUUACAAUGUCAGCUGUGAAGGCUGCACUCAUCCUGAUGCUCGCACUCACAGUCAUGGUAGAGUAUAUCUCAAGCACGGAUGACCUCAACAAGCCAGAGUGUGCAGAUCAAGCUUGCGACAGACCUGGUGACCCGAUCUGUGGAGCACGUUGCGAUUGCACCCAGUUCGGCGGCGAAAACUCAUAUAUAUGCACCGCAUUGUAGACAAGUGGUUGACAAGAAGCUACCUUGUGACGGCAAGAACGUACUGCGAGGAAGGUUGCUCUAAUAAAAU